UACGUAGGGGGCGAGCGUUGUCCGGAUUCAUUGGGCGUAAAGCGCGCGUAGGCGGCCCCGCAAGUCGGCCGUGAAAUCUCCGGGCUCAACUCGGAGGGGUCGGGCGAGACUGCGGGGCUCGAGGUGGGUAGAGGGCGGUGGAAUUCCGGGUGUAGUGGUGGAAUGCGUAGAGAUCAGGAAGAACACCGGUGGCGAAGGCGCUCUGCUAGGCCGCAACUGACACUGAGGGACGAAAGCUAGGGGAGCGAAUGGG
rnacentral:rRNA from 1 species